rnacentral:lncRNA from 1 species
UUGUGAAUAAGCCACAAACUUCGCUUAUUCCUAACUAAAAUAGUAAAUAGAGAUAAUAACAAUAGGAUUUGUAAAACUAAAGUAAUUCUUUUUGCGUUUUUGCUAAUGUAUGCCUUUAUAAAUAGGAUGGUAGACCACACACUAUAAUAUGCAGUACCAACUAAUGAAUACACAGAAUAUUAUAGUCGAUUUGCUAAACUCAGUCUCAGUACUACUGAGUCUCAGACACAACUGGCUAGUGAUUUUAGUAAAUAAUUUUGCCAAUUUGGUAAAAUUGGCCAAAAACAAAAAAAAUUACCUACUAAAAUCACUAGCCAGUUGUGUCAGAGUUUGGGGAACCGACUAUACUAAUAAACAAUUUCUAAGCUGUUUUAUAAUAUUUUGUGAGUCCAUUAAUCAUAUUUUUUAUUUAAAACUAAAAUUUGUUAAUAAUGCUUAGUAAUGCAUAUAUUUUGUAUUUUUAGCUUUCCAGAAGAUCCUGCGAAGAAGAUAUGAAGUAUAGAUCAGAUUUGUUAAUAGAGGAGUAUGUUCAAAACACUUUUUAGAAAAAGAUAUUGACAGAACUUCACUUUCAUCUGUUCGUUUAAGAGACUGUGCUGUUCCAAUAGCUUAUGUCACACAGAAUCAGCUGAGAGAAGUGGUCUACAAAAAACCAGAAAGGAAACGGAAUAUGUGGCUACGAAAAGCAAAAGAAAGGUUUACAAAGCAAAUGUGACACAUUUUUUUAUAAUAUUUAGGAAUGUCAGUAAAUUACAUUAAAAAAUGUAUGUAAAGAUUUUUUGCAAUAAAAAUGUUUAUAUUUA